CCUUUCUCUCCUCCAGCUCCACCAUAAAUACGCACCUCCACCGCUUGGCUCCGACGACUCCGAUUCUCUGAGACGGUCUCUCUCCUGUUCGCUUAGGGGGACAAGGAUUGUCUGGUGUGAUUGUUUUGGUUGUUGAGUUUCGGAGCGAUCGAUCACAGGAGCUGAUUCGACGAAGACGUCCCCCUUGCGAGCAGGAAAGGAGAGUAUGGACCAUAACGAGACAGGGUGCCAAGCUCCUCCUGAAGCCCCCAUACUUUGCAUCAACAACUGUGGAUUCUUCGGGAGUGCAGCCACCAUGAACAUGUGUUCCAAGUGCCACAAGGAUUUGGUAUUGAAGCAGGAACAGGCUAAACUUGCUGCAUCAUCGUUUGAGAGCAUCGUGGAGGGCAGCUCCAACAGCAAUGCAAAAGAGUCCAUGGUCGCCAUUGCCAAAGCUGAUAUAAUACAGACUGGUCCAUCAGAGUCAAUGCCCGUCCCAACACAGGCAGCUUGUGCUUCACCAAGCGAGACCAAUGACAGAGUGAAAGAGGGUCCAAACAGGUGCAGUUCUUGCAGGAAGCGAGUCGGUUUAACAGGCUUCAAUUGUCGCUGUGGAAACCUCUUCUGUGCAGUGCAUCGCUACUCUGACAAACAUGCCUGCCCAUUCGACUACAGGACCGCUGCUCGAGAUGCCAUAGCCAAAUCCAACCCUGUCAUCAAGCCUGAAAAGCUUGACAAAAUCUAAGAAGCCAUGUUUGAACAGUCUACCCCACGAGUCUUCCCUUGUUUACUCAUGACAUAAAUGGUCGCUCGGCUUUCCCGGUCUGAAAGAACAUUAUAGAUCAGUCAUCCAUGGUGUGUUUUGCUGCUGGUCUGAUGAACAGGCUUCUCAUGUUUUAGCAUGAGGCUUGGUAUAUGCAGAGGUGGUGUUGGGGAAGGAGGCAUGGAGAAAACAUAUUGGGGGCCAAGAGGGGGCCUUGAGCAUACAAGAAGGGUGAUGGGCCUGAUGGGAGUAUGGCUGGCACGAGGCUUGGGGCAACCUUGUCAAGUAUGUGUGGCUGGAAAAUAAAAAAGGGGUAUAUGAUGUCUCUAUGUUGAUUGGAGUCCUACGUUUUCUGACUAGACACAUUGGAUUUGUGAUAUCAACGGUUUGGGAGGUUGGAACCCCCAAAAGUCUUUGAUUAUGUCAUACUUUUUAGCAUUAGCUAUUACAGAUUAGUUUGAAUUAGAUAAUCCUUAGCCAUCACAAUGAGAUGGGUUUGUCACGCUGUACUCUCAAAAUGUCAAAUUUGACAUGUAUAUAGAAAUAGAUUUUUGGUGGGUUUUAGUUUUCUUUUGACAA